AAUCCAUAGGUUAAUGAGGCGAACCGGGGGAACUGAAACAUCUAAGUACCCCGAGGAAAAGAAAUCAACCGAGAUUCCCCCAGUAGCGGCGAGCGAACGGGGAGGAGCCCAGAGCCUGAAUCAGCAUGUGUGUUAGUGGAAGCGUCUGGAAAGGCGCGCGAUACAGGGUGACAGCCCCGUACACAAAAGCGCAUGUGCUGUGAGCUCGAUGAGUAGGGCGGGACACGUGGUAUCCUGUCUGAAUAUGGGGGGACCAUCCUCCAAGGCUAAAUACUCCUGACUGACCGAUAGUGAACCAGUACCGUGAGGGAAAGGCGAAAAGAACCCCGGCGAGGGGAGUGAAAAAGAACCUGAAACCGUGUACGUACAAGCAGUGGGAGCACCCUUUGGGUGUGACUGCGUACCUUUUGUAUAAUGGGUCAGCGACUUAUAUUCUGUAGCAAGGUUAACCGAAUAGGGGAGCCGGAGGGAAACCGAGUCUUAAUUGG
rnacentral:rRNA from 1 species